rnacentral:tRNA from 1 species
GCCCGGAUGCUGAAAUCGGAAAACAGGAUGGGCUCAAACCCCAUUGCCCGAAAGGGCUUGCGGGUUCGAAUCCCGCUCCGGGCA